rnacentral:rRNA from 1 species
CAGUCGCCGCGGGAAUACAGAGGGUGCAAGCGUUACUCGGAAUUACUGGGCGUAAAGCGUGCGUAGGUGGUGGUUUAAGUCCGUUGUGAAAGCCCUGGGCUCAACCUGGGAAUUGCAGUGGAUACUGGGUCACUAGAGUGUGGUAGAGGAUAGUGGAAUUUCCGGUGUAGCAGUGAAAUGCGUAGAGAUCGGAAGGAACAUCUGUGGCGAAGGCGACUAUCUGGGCCAACACUGACACUGAGGCACGAAAGCGUGGGGAGCAAACAGGAUUAGAUACCCCCGUAGUCCCUGUCUCUUAUAC